UAAGGGCAUUCGGUGGAUGCCUUGGCGACAAGAGGCGAUGAAAGACGUGAUACGCUGCGAUAAGCCAUGGGGAGCUGCGAAUAAGCUUUGAUCCGUGGAUUUCUGAAUGGGGCAACCCACUCCGUAUGGAGUACCCUUUAAUGGGAGCAAACCCGGGGAACUGAAACAUCUAAGUACCCGAAGGAAAGGACAUCAAUUGAGACUUCCCUAGUAGCGGCGAGCGAACGGGAACCAGGCCAGUGUCUCUUCUUGAGUCAGCGGAACGAUCUGGAAAGUUCGGCCAUAGCGGGUGAUAGCCCCGUACGUUAAAGCGAUUGAAGAGACCUUGAGUAGGGCGGGACACGUGAAAUCCUGUCUGAACAUGGGGGGACCACCCUCCAAGCCUAAGUACUCCUUGCCGACCGAUAGUGAACCAGUACCGUGAGGGAAAGGUGAAAAGCACCCCGACGAGGGGAGUGAAACAGAUCCUGAAACCGGACGCCUACAAGCAGUCGGAGCCGCCUUGCGCGGUGACGGCGUACCUUUUGUAUAAUGGGUCAGCGACUUACAUUCAGUGGCGAGGUUAACCGAAUAGGGGAGCCGUAGAGAAAUCGAGUCCGAACAGGGCGACAGUCGCUGGGUGUAGACCCG
rnacentral:rRNA from 1 species